rnacentral:rRNA from 1 species
UGUAGUCUCAAUGAUGAUGCAUACAUGUCAACUAUGGGUGUUGGGUCCAACAAUUCGCAUUGGUCUCAAACCAAUGACAUCCAUUUGGAAGACCAUGAAUUUGAGGUGGACGAGGAGGGUGAGGGCAUUGUCGACGCGCCGAAAGGAAGAGCGGGCAAUUACAGCACCAACGAUGACAAAUUACUAUGCAAUACUUAUUUGCAAGUGUCAAGGGAUCCAUCCAUUGGAGGUGAUCAAAGUAGAGACGCGUAUUGGGGGCGAAUGAAAGAAUACUUUGAUGCUCACAACAUGAGUGGAAUUGACCGCUCGGAGAGAUCACUUCGGUCCCGAUGGUCCACAAUCAACUCGGAUUGUCAAAAGUGGGCGGCUGCACAAAAGUCAGUUGACAAGAUUAACCCAAGUGGCACAAAUGAGGAUGAUAGAGUAAGUGGCAUCUCAUAUAUGUUCAUCUCAUACUUGUUCUUGGUGUCGGAAGUGCUAACUUGUUUUGUUUUUUCUUGUAGUUCAGCAUUGCACAAAACUUGUUCAAAGAAAAUACGAGGACCACCAAGAAGGGGAAGAUCAAGAAAAGAAGGGUCUUUACCUUGUCUCAUUGCUAUGAAGUGUUAA